GUCGUUGUAGUAUAGUGGUGAGUAUCCCCGCCUGUCACGCGGGAGACUCGGGUUCGAUCCCGGCAACAGCG
rnacentral:tRNA from 1 species